GGCCCCUUAUCGGGGUUGCGGACAGUGUCUGGUGGGUAGUUUGACUGGGGCGGUCUCCUCCCAAAGAGUAACGGAGGAGCACGAAGGUUAGCUAAUCCUGGUCGGACAUCAGGAGGUUAGUGCAAUGGCAUAAGCUAGCUUGACUGCGAGCGUGACGGCGCGAGCAGGUGCGAAAGCAGGUCAUAGUGAUCCGGUGGUUCUGAAUGGAAGGGCCAUCGCUCAACGGAUAAAAGGUACUCCGGGGAUAACAGGCUGAUACCGCCCAAGAGUUCAUAUCGACGGCGGUGUUUGGCACCUCGAUGUCGGCUCAUCACAUCCUGGGGCUGAAGUAGGUCCCAAGGGUAUGGCUGUUCGCCAUUUAAAGUGGUACGCGAGCUGGGUUUAGAACGUCGUGAGACAGUUCGGUCCCUAUCUGCCGUGGGCGCUGGAGAAUUGAGGGGGGCUGCUCCUAGUACGAGAGGACCGGAGUGGACGCAUCACUGGUGUUCGGGUUGUCAUGCCAAUGGCAUUGCCCGGUAGCUAAAUGCGGAAGAGAUAAGUGCUGAAAGCAUCUAAGCACGAAACUUGC
rnacentral:rRNA from 1 species